GACGAACGCUGGCGGCGUGCCUAAUACAUGCAAGUAGAACGCUGAAGGAGGAGCUUGCUCUUCUGGAUGAGUUGCGAACGGGUGAGUAACGCGUAGGUAACCUGCCUGGAAGCGGGGGAUAACUCUUGGAAACGAUAGCUAAUACCGCAUAACAGUAGAUGUUGCAUGACAUUUACUUAAAAGGUGCAAUUGUGUCACUACCAGAUGGACCUCCGUUGUAUUAGCUAGUUGGUGGGGUAACGGCGCAACAAGGCGACGACUGAGAGCCGACCUUGGAGGGGGCUCGGCCAACCUGGGACUGGGGCACGGCCCCGGCUCCUACGGGGAGCAGCAGUAGGGGAUCUUCGGCAAUGGGCGGAAGGCUGACCGGGCCACGCCGCGUGGGUGAAUGAGGUUUUCGGGUCGUAAAGAUCUGUUGUAAGGGAAGAACGAGUGUGAGAGUGGAAAGUUCACACUGUGACGGUAUCUUACCAGAAAGCGACGGCUAACUACGUG
rnacentral:rRNA from 1 species